rnacentral:misc_RNA from 1 species
UUGAAAUAAAGGGUUGUCUGCUGGCCUCUCGGGGCACGUGCACGCCCAAAUCCACAACACACCUGUGAACCCACCGUAGGCCCUCGGGCUUAUGUAUAUCAUAUACUCUGAUCAUAGAAUGUAAAUAUUUUGCCUUAAAAACGCAAUGAAAUA